rnacentral:rRNA from 1 species
GUAGGGGGCAAGCGUUAUCCGGAUUUACUGGGUGUAAAGGGAGCGUAGACGGAUGGACAAGUCUGAUGUGAAAGGCUGGGGCUCAACCCCGGGACUGCAUUGGAAACUGCCCGUCUUGAGUGCCGGAGAGGUAAGCGGAAUUCCUAGUGUAGCGGUGAAAUGCGUAGAUAUUAGGAGGAACACCAGUGGCGAAGGCGGCUUACUGGACGAUGACUGACGCUGAGGCUCGAAAGUGUGGGUAUCAAACAGGAUUAGAUACCCUGGUAGUCCACACGGUAAACGAUGAAUACUCGCUGUUUGCGAUAUACGGCAAGCGGCCAAGCGAAAGCGUUAAGUAUUCCACCUGGGGAGU